rnacentral:rRNA from 1 species
AGUGAACGCUGGCGGUAGGCCUAACACAUGCAAGUCGAACGGCAGCACAGUAAGAGCUUGCUCUUACGGGUGGCGAGUGGCGGACGGGUGAGGAAUACAUCGGAAUCUACUUUUUCGUGGGGGAUAACGUAGGGAAACUUACGCUAAUACCGCAUACGACCUACGGGUGAAAGCAGGGGAUCUUCGGACCUUGCGCGAUUCAAUGAGCCGAUGUCGGAUUAGCUAGUUGGCGGGGUAAAGGCCCACCAAGGCGACGAUCCGUAGCUGGUCUGAGAGGAUGAUCAGCCACACUGGAACUGAGACACGGUCCAGACUCCUACGGGAGGCAGCAGUGGGGAAUAUUGGACAAUGGGCGCAAGCCUGAUCCAGCCAUGCCGCGUGGGUGAAGAAGGCCUUCGGGUUGUAAAGCCCUUUUGUUGGGGAAGAAAAGCAGCAGGUUAAUACCUCGCUGUUCUGACGGUACCCAAAGAAUAAGCACCGGCUAACUUCGUG